GACGUAGGGCGCGAGCGUUGUCCGGAUUUAUUGGGCGUAAAGAGCUCGUAGGCGGCUUGUUGCGUCGGCUGUGAAAACCCGUGGCUUAACUGCGGGCUUGCAGCUGAUACGGGCGGGCUGGAGUUCGGUAGGGGAGACUGGAAUUCCUGGUGUAGCGGUGAAAUGCGUAGAUAUCGGGAGGAACACCUGUGGCGAAAGCGGCGCACUGGACCAUAACUGACGCUGAGACGCGAAAGCGUGGGGAGCGAACAGG
rnacentral:rRNA from 1 species